UAAGGUGAAAUAAGUAGCUGCUGUUGUAUAAUAAUACAGCAGAGGAAAGUCCGGGCUCCAAGGAAAGAUAGUGACGGGUAAUACCCGCCGGAGGUAACUUUAGUUCAGGGCUACAGAAAAUUACCGCCUAAAAAAACAUUUUAGGUAAGGGUGAAAAGGUAUGGUAAAAGCAUACCAAACCAAUGGCAACAUUGGUGCUGAGUAACCAGCACUAGGAGCAAGAUUAAAUAGAGUAGAUUUUAUGUUUUCCUCAUAUCUACUCGGGUAAAUCGCACGCAAUAAAUGGUAACAUUUACUCUAGAUAAAUAGCUACAUAAACAGAACCCGGCUUACAUUUCACCUAAACAA
rnacentral:RNase_P_RNA from 1 species